rnacentral:rRNA from 1 species
GGAUUGACAGGUAUUAUAUAGCGCGCUUGCGCGUCUAUUGUUAAAUAUGCUAGUCCUUUCAUGAUUAUGUGAUAGGUGGUGCAUGGCCGUUCUUAGUUCGUGGAGUGAUCUGUCUGCUUAAUUGCGUUUCAGAUAAGGAUCUAUAUUCUUUACAGAAGUGUUGCGUUGUGCGCAUUUGACCCCUCGUUCGCGAGUGCGUGUCUUUUCGCGCUCGCACGCUUUUUACAUUAGGUCCUGAAAGCAACGAACGUGACCGCAACCUCUUGUUGCCUCAUCUCCCUACUUUUUUAGCACUUCGGUGUUGAAUAAUUUCAUUGAGGCUUUCCAAAACUAGAGGGACCGCUGUCAACUUCUUAAACCAGAGGAAGGUUGCGGCAAUAACAGGUCUG